rnacentral:rRNA from 1 species
UACGUAGGGGGCUAGCGUUGUCCGGAAUUAUUGGGCGUAAAGAGCUCGUAGGCGGUCUGUUGCGUCGGCUGUGAAAACCCGGGGCUCAACCCCGGGCCUGCAGCCGAUACGGGCAGACUAGAGUUCGGCAGGGGAGACUGGAAUUCCCGGUGUAGCGGUGAAAUGCGCAGAUAUCGGGGAAGAACACCCGUGGCGAAGGCGGUUCUCUGGGACGGUACUGACGGCUGAGACGCGAAAGCGUGGGGAGCGAACAGG